rnacentral:miRNA from 1 species
UCAAACAUCACUGCAGCUGUA